rfam:Trichobilharzia regenti genome assembly, scaffold: TRE_scaffold0019119
AUCCGGAUGACGAGACCCAAAUAGGACGAAAUGCGCAUCCUGGAU